CCGGCCACCACCAGCACAGACUUGAUGGCUCUCAGGCCCCAGUCGUAAUGAUCCUGCGGGCAGUGGGCACAGUAGAGACAGGGUUUCACCAUGCUAGCAAGGAUGGUCUCGAUCUCCUGACCUCGUGAUCCGCCCGCCUCGGCCUCCCAAAGUACUGGGAUUACAGGCGUGAGCCACCACGCCCGGCCCCCAGAUGGACUUUUAUCACUCAGCAGAAUUCUCUGGAGAUGCACCCAGGCUGUUGCAGGAACCAGCUUUGGGACCCUGGAGGGCAAGAGCUCAAUGGCACCACACCACCCUUCGGUGCUUGGAACGUUGCAGAGAGGCAAGGAGGGUCUAUCUGGCGUGUGAGGUCACAGGAAAGCUGACGAGCCAGUCACCCGACGUGACCCCGAGGCCGCAGGCAGGGGACUUUACCUGCACGGCAAUCACAGACAAGACUUCCACUGAGAUGCGAUUAAACUCGUCAAAGCAGCCCCAGGCUCCCGUCUGGGCCAGGCCCUUGUAGAUAUUUCCACAGGACUGGAAAGGGCGAGAUGGAGAAAGGAAGAGCUGGGAGGGUGACAGGGAGGGCGGGCGCUGCAGGGGCCUCCCCCUGCCUCUUCGGCUGUGUUUUCUCUUCCCAAAGCUUGCUCAGGCCCCGGUGCAUUGGAGCCUUCCGCAGGCCAGCAGGCAGGUCAGCUUACUGCCCAGGGUAACACCGUGGAGGGCUGGACACGAGGAAGAGCCAUCCUUUCACCCUUGCCUCCCAGACCCCAGGAUGGGGACUUCCUGGAGUCCCUAAUAAGGGGCUCAGACAAGCACAUUUAAGUUCUAAA
rnacentral:lncRNA from 1 species